AUGAUGAGCAGACCCAAGCGCCUCAAAGACUUCCUGCAGGAGGAGAAAUUGUACACAUUUGUUGGUUUCAGCAUUGGAGGUGACAAGCGGAUGCUGGGGGAGUCUGGUUUGGAAAUCAACCCCAACAACUUCAUCGACAUGCAGCGCAAGUGGAAAGAUCCAAAGACCAAAAAAUACUACGACUCCUUGGCCGAUGUUGCAAGCGGAGUCAUCCACCCAUUCUAUAGAGGCAUGAAGAAUAAAAUGAAGAGGGAUGACCACAAACUGUGGGGGACCAGCCCGCUGCGAGACAACCUCAUCACAUACGCAGGAAUAGAUGCGUAUGCAAUGUAA
rnacentral:rRNA from 1 species